GCCUUUGGCCUUUCACGCUGACGGGUCAGACGAAACGCUAGGAGUUCUUUCAAUGUUUUUGCUAUGAACUUUAGUGGUUUCACAAAAUUAUUAAAGUUUAGUUGAGGAGAGGCGGCCGGGACCUGCUUACUUUCCUAAUUUUUAAAACUAAACCAGAAGCAAGAAGAAUUCGGGUCACGGCAGCAACGCGAAACAGGACGCACUCUUUUGAUGAGGAUAAGAGGUGAAAUUUGAGCCCACCACUUCCUGGAUGGUGGUCUGGUGCAGAGCUGCUCCGUGGACCCCUGUUACACUGGAGCUGCCACACUUUUAAAAACCAAUCUGUCUGUUGAAACUGCAAAUAAAAGAGACAGCAAUGCUUACCAUCAUUCUUCUGGAGCCCCUUCGACUCGAGCUCCAUUGCAGGUCCAGCUGAUUGUCGGGGGACGUUCUGUCAAAGCCUUAACACCUACGCCUGCAUACCCGAGCUAAACCCACUUACAGACUUCGCGCGGCUGACCGUCGGCUGAAUUCGGAUCUCCUUACAGAUGAUGCUGUCUGGACCGGCCGGCAGGGGGUGUCGCUUCACGCGGAUGAGCCCCCCCCAGGACCAUCUUCUUUUAAUAGCCCCGUUCAGGGUUCCGACAAAAAUGUUGUGACUCCUUGUGACGUGUUAUUGUUGAUUCAUUAUUUUUUUUAUGAAAUCUUGGAUGGGUGAUUUCUUUUCUAUUUAAUGAAGAAUGUCCCCCUUCCUACCCUAUGAUGGUUCUGUUCCCUGUCCUUGCUGCAAUCGGCACCAGCUCCUCUGGCCAGGAUAGAGCAAGUGUAGACGAUGGACGGAUGCUCCCUGUUCGUCUCAUACGUUCCCAUAUUCUCUCUGUGUCUUUUAUCGCAGUACUUUGAACUGGCAAAGAUGUUAUGGCUGGAGACACAAGCAAGUCAGACUUUUUUUUUUAGCUAUCCUUUGGAAGCAGUAACAUCACCGCACACAUAAACUCUUAUUUUAGAUUUAUUUUUGAUAUCUCCCGAUGUAGACUGCACUUAAUCUAUCCAUUCUGAAGCUUUAAAAGUGGAUUUUUUCAGGGACGUCUUGUUUUGCUUAUUUUUAUCAAAUACCUUUGAAGUCACUAUUGAACUGUUUUAAUAACAAUAAUAGCAGAUAUAAAUAUUACAGUUUUAUACAUUGAAUGUAUACAACCAUUCCAUGUAAAUA